rnacentral:tRNA from 1 species
AGGAUUUUAGUUUAUAAAAACAUUUGAUUUGCAUUCAAAAAAUAUUAAUUUAAUUAAUUUAUCUUA